GGACCAUGUGUAAAGUCAUCUCAAAUACAGACAGGUUGGGGUUAUCCUGAUGAAAAACAGAUACCCAAAAGAGAUAAAAUGAAAAGGGGGAAAAAACCUAUCACAGGAAAGCUUUACUGGCGCAAUAGAGCUGCUAAAUUGUUACAAAGGGCUAAAAAAAUGCUUGCACGUAAAGAGCACACACAAGGCUCAGAACCUGUACAGGCUCCUGAGAGCUCUGAGACUGCUAGGCCUUGUAGUUCUACACAGCAGGCCCAAUCUCAAGAGCACUCACAAGGCUCAGAACCUGUACAGGCUCCUGAGAGCUCUGAGACUGCUAGGCCUUGUAGUUCUACACAGCAGACACAGUCUCAAGAGCACUCACAAGACUCAGAAGCCCUGUCUCCUGAAAAUGUUGUAACCCCCGCUGCUGCACCCCCACCAGUGUAUGCAGAAGUUGUAAACAGAUGGGAGUGGGUAAGCGAAAGGUACCGAACAAACAAUAUAGGGCAAGAAUUUCGUUUUGUUAAUUUAGAGAAUGUAAAUUCAUAUGCCGAAGCUGUUAGAGCCAUCCAUGAAGCUGUUCAGGACGUUCUUGACAGUGUUACUGAAAGUCUGGAGGUUGGGGAUUUUGUGCAGAUGAGAUUUGAGGGUGGAAAUAUGAGGGAUCCUCUGUUUUCAUUGAAAAAAGUUAAAGGAGCUUUAGAUGCAGCAGAAUUUCUCUCUAAUCUGAGCAAUCUGUUGCAAAGCAACAUGGAACUAUGUCUUGAGGGUACUUUGCGCUUGGUUGUAUCCAUUGUGAAACCUCCCAGGGGUGGUGGGGGCCCUUCAAGAGCCUUGCGCUCUAUCCCCCAUAGUGAAAUUAUAAACAAGAAAAGGAAAUAUCUAAUAGAUUUCAGGGACGUAAACAGUAAACUCUGUUUUGGGGCAAGUCUGGCUGCUGUGAUGGCUAAAGAGGUCCCAACAGAUGUGGAGUUGUCAAAAGCAGCUCUGCAAAUGUAUCAAGCUGUCCACUGGCCUGUAGACAAAGAGGUUUCUCUGGCUGACAUACCUCUCUUUGAAAAUCAUUUACACGUCAAUAUCAAUAUUGCCCGAUAUGGCGAUAAAGGCUGGGCCCUAUUUAAAUCACAAG
rnacentral:lncRNA from 1 species